GACGAACGCUGGCGGCGUGCUUAACACAUGCAAGUCGAACGGAAAGGCCCUGCUUUUGUGGGGUGCUCGAGUGGCGAACGGGUGAGUAACACGUGAGUAACCUGCCCUUGACUUUGGGAUAACUUCAGGAAACUGGGGCUAAUACCGGAUAGGAGCUCCUGCUGCAUGGUGGGGGUUGGAAAGUUUCGGCGGUUGGGGAUGGACUCGCGGCUUAUCAGCUUGUUGGUGGGGUAGUGGCUUACCAAGGCUUUGACGGGUAGCCGGCCUGAGAGGGUGACCGGCCACAUGGGGACUGAGAUACGGCCCAGACUCCUGCGGGGGGGAGCAGGGGGGAAUUUUGCACAAGGGGCGGAAGCCUGAUGCAGCAACGCCGGGGGGGGGAUGACGGCCUUGGGGUUGUAAACCGCUUUCGCCUGGGACGAAGGGGGGGUGACGGUAAUGGGUAAAGAAGCACCGGCUAACUACGU
rnacentral:rRNA from 1 species